GCGUUUCACUAAGGUCCCAUUCUUCAUACGUAUGAAUAGCGUCUUAACUCACUUUUACCGCUACCUAUUUGUAGUAAGCGCUCAUACUAUUGGGACCGGAAUGCAACGAGCGCGACUGCACCACCUAAUUGCCUCUUAUCUACCAUUAAUUACUUUAUUAACCGCCCUGUACGGGCACCGGGGCCUUACCUUUACUGAAACUAGCUGGACCACUGCUUUCCUUUAAGCCAGAGGAAGGUUGCGGCAAUAACAGGUCUGUGAUGCCCUCAGAUGUUCCGGGCCGCACACGUGCUACAAUGAUCAGCACAGAGAGUAUUACCUAUCUUCUUAUACCUAACCCAAUAUGUUAAACUUAUUGCGUAAGGACAUUGUCUUAACGACUUAUCCGCUUUAGCGCUUUAAGAUUAUUGGACGGUUAUGCCUGCCUCGAGAGAGUGUACAGGGCAGCAAGAGUAAUGAUUCCUUCGUUUUUACUACUAAUACCGCGCUUGGUAACAUAUUACACUCGAUUAAGUAGGGUCUUUGCUUCUAAUAGCAAUUGCUAUCCUCACCCUUAGGCUCUAAGGAUAUUACUAUCUCUAAGGUCUACAGGGAGGUGUAUAUGGCGCACUUACUUAUUCACGGUGGGGACAGACCAUUGUUAACUGUUGGUCUCGGUCUCAACUAGGAAUGCCUCGUACGGGUUGGUUCACCAAACCACCCGGAAUAUGUCCCUGCCCUUUGUACACACCGCCCGUCGCUCUUAUCGAUGAACUCAUUUGUGAGGCUGAGGGACUGCGUCUAUUAUACCCGUGUAAUCCUAAUAUCUCACAUACAUUUCGCUAAAAGCGAUUUUGCUUUAAGGAUUUAUACGACCUUACGCACAAACUUAUUCGACCAAAUGGGUUUAAAGGAAAGAGAAG
rnacentral:rRNA from 1 species